CAAUUUCCUUAAUUUAAAAUCAAUCGCCCAAUUUAGAACAAAUCGCAAUCACUAAAAUAUUUGUGUUGCGUGAUUGAAAUGUAUAAGCUUUGCAGCCCUAUUUAUAGAACUAUAACAUUGAACUACAUUGUUUACAGGCAAUUGAUAAAACUAGAAUAGUGAAGCGAAUAGUGCGAAUAGUCGACGAAUAGUGCGAAUAGUCCGCGAAUAGUCGACGAAUAGUGCGAAUAGUCCGCGAAUAGUCGACGAAUAGUACGAAUAGUCGACGAAUAGCACGAAUAGUCCGC